GAGAAGCUUUACUGGUGUUCCAGUCCUAAGCAACCAUCUUUCCUGUGAAAAAUCCCCUCUCCUAGUACUUUAGUUCUGUGGAUCCAAAAAUUAUAGCAUUCUUCUCCCACCACGGGGGCUCAUAACGACAUUAACAGACACUUUUCAGAAAGACAGGUUGUUCUUUUGGGCCACAUCUAAGAAAUCUUUGUCUAGCCAAAAGCCACAAAUAAUUUCUCACUUUUUGGCUUCCGGAAGAUGUACACUUAAAUGUUAUAUUUGGGACUGUUAUCUAAUUUGAUUAAAUUGCUCUCUACAAUAUGAUAUUUGAAUUGAUGAAAAAUUAGUAAAUGUUAAUAUUUUUUAAAGUA
rnacentral:antisense_RNA from 1 species